ACGUAGGGGGCGAGCGUUGUCCGGAAUUACUGGGCGUAAAGAGCACGUAGGCGGGAACUUAAGUCAGGUGUGAAAGACCGAGGCUCAACCUCGGGGUGGCACUUGAAACUGGGUUUCUUGAGGGCAGGAGAGGAAAGCAGAAUUCCUGGUGUAGCGGUGAAAUGCGUAGAAAUCAGGAGGAAUACCAGUGGCGAAGGCGGCUUUCUGGACUGACCCUGACGCUGAGGUGCGAAAGCGUGGGUAGCAAACAG
rnacentral:rRNA from 1 species